GGGGGUGUCGCAUGCCAUCCAGUCCAAUGUAUGUGGGUGGGGGUCCAUCCCAGUCCAAUGUGAGGGGGGGGGUAUCAUCCCAGUCCAAUGUGAGGUGGGAGUCUCAUCCCAGUCCAAUGUGAGGUGUGGGGGGCUCCCCCAGUCCAAUGUGAGGUGGGAGUGUGCUCAUCCCAGUCCAAUGUGAGGUGGGGGGGGUCUCAUCCCAGUCCAAUGUGAGGGUGGGGGGGUCUCAUCCCAGUCCAAUGUGAGGUGGGGGGUCUCAUCCAAGUCCAAUGGGAGAAGGGGGGGUCUAACCCCAGUCCAAUGUGAUUGGGGGUCCAUCCCAGUCCAAUAUGAGGUGGGUGGUCUCAUCCAGCAAUGUGAGGUGGGGGGGGGUCUCAUCCCAUGCACAUGAGGGUGGGGGGGGUCUCAUGCCAGUCCAAUGUGAGGUGUGGGGGUCUCAUCCCAGUCCAAUGUGAGGUGGGGGGGGUCUCAUCCCAGUCUAAUGUGAGGUGGGGGGGUCUCAUCCCAGUCCAAUGUGAGGUGGGGGGGUCUCAUCCCAGUCCAAUGUGAGGUGGGGGGGUCUCAUCCCAGUCCAAUGUGAGGUGGGGGGUCCAUCCCAGUCCAAUGUGAGGUGGGGGGUCUCGUCCCAGUCCAAGGUGAGGUGGGCGGGUCCGUCCCGAGUCCAAUGUGAGGUGAGGCGGUCUCGUCCCAGUCCAAUGUGAGGUGGGGGGUCUCGUCCCAGUCCAAUGGCAUCAUGAUCAUAAUGCUGAGGCGAUGGUAAAGAGUAAACACUGGGAAGCUUUAUCUUGACUUUCAUUGAACUUCACAAGCCACGUGUCAGUUUCUCGCACUGAACACACCCUCAU
rnacentral:lncRNA from 1 species